GACGAACGCUGGCGGCGUGCUUAACACAUGCAAGUCGAACGAAGAGCGAUGGACGCUUGCUUCUCUCAAUCUUAGUGGCGCACGGGUGAGUAACGCGUAAUCAACUUGCCCUUCAGAGGGGGACAACAGUUGGAAACGACUGCUAAUACCGCAUACGAUCUAACCUCGGCAUCGAGGAUAGAUGAAAGGUGGCCUCUACAUGUAAGCUAUCACUGAAGGAGGGGAUUGCGUCUGAUUAGCUAGUUGGAGGGGUAACGGCCCACCAAGGCGAUGAUCAGUAGCCGGUCUGAGAGGAUGAACGGCCACAGUGGGACUGAGACACGGCCCAGACUCCUACGGGAGGCAGCAGUGGGGAAUCUUCCGCAAUAGACGAAAGUCUGACGGAGCAACGCCGCGUGAGUGAUGACGGCCUUCGGGUUGUAAAGCUCUGUUAAUCGGGACGAAAGGCCUUCUUGCGAAUAGUUAGAAGGAUUGACGGUACCGGAAUAGAAAGCCACGGCUAACUACGUG
rnacentral:rRNA from 1 species